GGGCGCAUAGCUCAGUUGGUAGAGCAACUCCCUCUUAAGGAGAUGGUCGAGGGUUCGAAUCCCCCUGCGCCCACCA
rnacentral:tRNA from 1 species